CACUCCUGCGGGAGGCAGCAGUGGGAAUUUUGGACAAUGGGCGAAAGCCUGAUCCAGCAAUGCCGCGUGAGUGAAGAAGGCCUUCGGGUUGUAAAGCUCUUUUGUCAGGGAAGAAACGGUGAAAGCUAAUAUCUUUUGCUAAUGACGGUACCUGAAGAAUAAGCACCGGCUAACUACGUGCCAGCAGCCGCGGUAAUACGUAGGGUGCAAGCGUUAAUCGGAAUUACUGGGCGUAAAGCGUGCGCAGGCGGUUUUGUAAGUCUGAUGUGAAAUCCCCGGGCUCAACCUGGGAAUUGCAUUGGAGACUGCAAGGCUAGAAUCUGGCAGAGGGGGGUAGAAUUCCACGUGUAGCAGUGAAAUGCGUAGAUAUGUGGAGGAACACCGAUGGCGAAGGCAGCCCCCUGGGUCAAGAUUGACGCUCAUGCACGAAAGCGUGGGGAGCAAACAGGAUUAGAUACCCCUGUAGUCCCAUG
rnacentral:rRNA from 1 species